CAAUUAUUUGAGGGCUAACAAUAUACCAGGUAUCAAUCUAAGUAGCUUACUAAUACCUUGUCAUUGUACACUUGAUCUUAGCCAAAAGGCCGAGAAGUGAUACUAGAAUCCUGUUAUUGUAUACACAUGCACGUGGCAUAAUCUAUAUUUUUACCCUUGGUUCCCUAUAAAGCUAUGAGCAUUUCAUCCUGGACCAGCAGCACCAGUUUACACCCUAGGAUAAGGGUAUCACUAGAUGAGAUUUCUUGAGGCGACAGCACUGCAGCAUACAGAUGGAAAAGGAGCCAGAUUCAGUGGAGAAUGUGCUCAGUUCAGAGCAUCUUUGCGGUACCAUCCCUUCCUGUUAACCAUCCAGGAGGACUGGGAGAUUAAAUUGUUAGUUACAAAAACAAAGUCUUAUUUGUGUAUGGUUGACAACUGUCUUUUUGUCAUUGAAAUGCCAUUUAUUUUUAGGAUUUAUUUAUUUUAUUUAUCUAUUUUGGGGGCUUACCAGGGAUCAAUCUCGGGAUCUUGUGCUUGCGAUGCAAGCAGCAACACCACUGAGCUAAAUCCCUGACCCUGGAAUAAUUUAUUUUUAUUAGUACAUGUUUGUGAUACAUAGUGAUUAUGUUCAGCUUGGGGGUUUGACAUGUAUACAUAUCACUCAGCAAUGAAGUGUUUACCUAGCUUGAAGUAGGUAAUGGGUUUGAUCCUCGGCUCCUCAAAACAAAGCCUGUUAACCAUCUUGCAUCAUUGACUAGAAAAGAAAGAAAUGGAACUUUCUCUUGUACAUACUAUGCAACCAAAAAACCUAAUACUACUUCCUGUUCCUAAGGAGCUAGAAGUGGAAGGAAGUAGGAAUGAGCACACUGCAGUAGAGAGAACAUUCGGUAAGUGUAGGCCAACUAUG
rnacentral:lncRNA from 1 species